rnacentral:rRNA from 1 species
AAUUACCCAAUCCUGACACAGGGAGGUAGUGACAAGAAAUAACAAAGAAGGACCAUACUGGUUUUUCUAUUGGAAUGAGCAGAAUUUAAAUCUCUUUUCGACUAUCAAUUGGAGGGCAAGUCUGGUGCCAGCAGCCGGGGUAAUUCCAGCUCCAAUAGCGUAUGUUAAAGUUGUUGCGGCUAAAAAGCUCGUAGUUGGAUUUCUAGAUGAGAGGAGUGGUCCACUCUAUGAGUGUGUAUCUACUUCCGCUCGUCUAUCCGCUCUGCAAACGUGUCUGCGCUUGACUGCGUGGCGCGGAGGUAGGGCCUUUUACUUUGAGGAAAUUAGAGUGUUCACGGCAGGCAAUCGCCUUGAAUAUAUUAGCAUGGAAUAAUAACAUAGGAUCUUGGUUCUAUUUUGUUGGUUUCUAGGGCUAAAAUAAUGAUUAAUAGGGACAAUUGGGGGCAUUCGUAUCGCGGUGUCAGAGGUGGAAUUCUUGGAUUACUGCGCGACGAACUACUGCGAAAGCAUUUGCCAAGGAUGUUUUCAUUGAUCAAGAACGAAAGUAAGGGGAUCGAAAACAAUUAGAUACCGUCGUAGUCUUUACCAUAAACUAUGCCAACUAGAGAUGGGGCGUCGUU